rnacentral:tRNA from 1 species
GGACAGGUGGCCGAGUGGUUUAAGGCAGCGGUCUUGAAAACCGCCGUGCGCAGAAGCGUACCGUGGGUUCGAAUCCCACCCUGUCCGCCA